GCAUUCCUUGGAAAAGCUGAACAAAAUAAGUGAGAACUCCCUACUGUCAUUCUCAUCAAAACUGA
rnacentral:snoRNA from 1 species